GGGUUGUGAGGUUAAGCGACUAAGCGUACACGGUGGAUGCCCUGGCAGUCAGAGGCGAUGAAGGACGUGCUAAUCUGCGAUAAGCGCCGGUAAGGUGAUAUGAACCGUUAUAACCGGCGAUUUCCGAAUGGGGAAACCCAGUGUGAUUCGUCACACUAUCAUUAACUGAAUCCAUAGGUUAAUGAGGCGAACCGGGGGAACUGAAACAUCUAAGUACCCCGAGGAAAAGAAAUCAACCGAGAUUCCCCCAGUAGCGGCGAGCGAACGGGGAGGAGCCCAGAGCCUGAAUCAGCAUGUGUGUUAGUGGAAGCGUCUGGAAAGGCGCGCGAUACAGGGUGACAGCCCCGUACACAAAAGCGCAUGUGCUGUGAGCUCGAUGAGUAGGGCGGGACACGUGGUAUCCUGUCUGAAUAUGGGGGGACCAUCCUCCAAGGCUAAAUACUCCUGACUGACCGAUAGUGAACCAGUACCGUGAGGGAAAGGCGAAAAGAACCCCGGCGAGGGGAGUGAAAAAGAACCUGAAACCGUGUACGUACAAGCAGUGGGAGCCCCACCACUAAGCCAGUGGUGAACUCCACAUACGCAUCCUUUGCUGAGGAUACGGUUAACGGAGCGAAAGCGACGUUCAACCUCAAAAGAAGCAGAGGGGGCUUAGUGGUGGGGUGACUGCGUACCUUUUGUAUAAUGGGUCAGCGACUUAUAUUCUGUAGCAAGGUUAACCGUAUAGGGGAGCCGGAGGGAAACCGAGUCUUAAUUGGGCGUUAAGUUGCAGGGUAUAGACCCGAAACCCGGUGAUCUAGCCAUGGGCAGGUUGAAGGUUGGGUAACACUAACUGGAGGACCGAACCGACUAAUGUUGAAAAAUUAGCGGAUGACCUGUGGCUGGGGGUGAAAGGCCAAUCAAACCGGGAGAUAGCUGGUUCUCCCCGAAAGCUAUUUAGGUAGCGCCUCGUGAAUUCAUCUUCGGGGGUAGAGCACUGUUUCGGCUAGGGGGUCAUCCCGACUUACCAACCCGAUGCAAACUGCGAAUACCGGAGAAUGUUAUCACGGGAGACACACGGCGGGUGCUAACGUCCGUCGUGAAGAGGGAAACAACCCAGACCGCCAGCUAAGGUCCCAAAGUCAUGGUUAAGUGGGAAACGAUGUGGGAAGGCCCAGACAGCCAGGAUGUUGGCUUAGAAGCAGCCAUCAUUUAAAGAAAGCGUAAUAGCUCACUGGUCGAGUCGGCCUGCGCGGAAGAUGUAACGGGGCUAAACCAUGCACCGAAGCUGCGGCAGCGAACGUAUCACUUAAAGCGAUUCAGCGGGUUACGAUUGACGGAGCGAAGCGACGUCAAAGCGUAUACAAAGUCGAGUCGGUUUA
rnacentral:rRNA from 1 species